UAGCAUGUAGUAUAUUCCAGGCAGUGUGC
rnacentral:piRNA from 1 species